rnacentral:Y_RNA from 14 species
GGCUGGUCCAAAGGUAGUGAGUUAUCUCAAUUGAUUGAUCACAGUCAGUUACAGAUUGAACUUCUGUUCUAUACUUUCCCUGCUUCUCACUACUCCAUUUGACUAGAGAUAG